rnacentral:rRNA from 1 species
GACGAACGCUGGCGGCGUGCUUAACACAUGCAAGUCGAACGGAAAGGCCCUGCGUUUGUGGGGUGCUCGAGUGGCGAACGGGUGAGUAACACGUGAGUAACCUGCCCUUGACUUUGUGAUAACUUCACGAAACUGGGGCUAAUAUCGGAUAGAAGCUCCUGCUGCAUGGUGGGGGUUGGAAAGAUUCGGCGGUUGGGGAUGGACUCGCGGCUUAUCAGCUUGUUGGUGGGGUAGUGGCUUACCAAGCCUUUGACGGGUAGCCGGCCUGAGAGGGUGACCGGCGACAUUGGGACUGAGAUACGGAGCAGACUGGUAUGGGAGGCAGCAGGGGGGAGUAUUGCGGAACGGGCGGAAGUGUGAUGUAGAAACGCCGCGUGCGGGAUGCCGGGCUUCGGGUUGUAAACAGAUGUCGCAUGUGACGAGGAGUGAGUGACGGUAAUGGGUAAAGAAGCACCGGCUAACUACGUG